CUAAGCUCAAAUCAAAGUUUUAUGUUGGAGAUAAAGGGCUUUCGACAAAGGUUGAACGAAAAGGAAAAUCAGCUGAUUAUGUUUCUGAGCAAAAUCUGUCUUCUCACGUUGUCUCUCAAGCUAAAGUAAAGUCUAAGUCAUUCAGAUCCACAACAUCAACCGCCCUUCAAGUUGGCCGUAAAUGCUCUACAUCAAAAAAGUUAAA